GGGAACUUCGUGCUUUUCCCUGGGGAUUCUCCUCGACUCCCUCUAAACCAAACAGCUCAGCUCAGCUCAACUCUCUGGACCCAAAAGCACGCAAUUUGCGGAAAGAGGAAACAAAUGUCCCAGCCAUCUGGGCUCAGGACAAAGCGUAUGGCUCAGCACCGCUGGUCGGGAGUGCAAGGGAACGGCCCCAUGUGUCGGGAUAAACUAGGAAAACAUUUAUGCAUCACAAUCUCUGCAAAAAAUAAAGGGCCACAUUUCUUCCCCACUUAUUUACCUACUUUAUCCUGCAUCAAAUAUUUAAUGAGCACCUACCACGUACGGAAUCCUUUGCAACAGGCUGUAAACUUGGUACCACCUGAAGACUACAGCCGGGAUUUCCCUUCUGGUGAUGGCGGGCUGAGCAGCCUGGUACCACACCUGCCCCUGAAGUCAACAAAACAGCCAGUCAAAAUUGAAACCACAACCCAUUAAGAGCAGCAAAACGUCAACAAGGCUAGUGAGGAGUUUCCAAAAAGAUGCGUUGAAUCGGAGCUGCAGCUGCCGACCUGCACCACAGCCACAGCAAUGCUGGAUCUUUACCCCACUGAGCGAGGCCAGGGUUCAAGCCUGCGUCCUCAUUAUUGGUCGGAUUCCUAGCCCGCUGAGCCACAACGGAAACUCCUAUCUUCCUUUUAAUGCCCAUGAGAUCAGGAAGGGUCCAAUUGAUCUUUUUUCUCGAGGUUUCUAAGGAUCCAGCUUGGUGACCUACGCCAUUUUCCUUCUUGCAGACAAGGGCUGCUGGCCAUGAAUUCCCUCAGUUUUCCUCUGAGAUGGUUUGCUUUUCCUAGAAUGCCACACAACUGGAAUCAUACAGUAUGUGGCCUUCACAGAGCAGCUUCUUUCUCUUGGAAAUGUACAUUUAGGGUUCAUUAUUGUCGUUUCAUGGCUUGAGAGCUCAUUCGUUUUUAGUUGCUGAAUAACAUAUUAAUGUGUUGCUAUAUCGCAAUUUGUUUAUCUGUCAUACAUAGAAGGAGUUCUUAAUUGUUUCCAAUUUUUGGCAACUGGCAAUUAUGAAUAAAACCACUAUAAACUGU
ensembl:lncRNA